rnacentral:rRNA from 1 species
AUUAGUGGCGAACGGGUGAGUAACACGUGAGUAACCUGCCCUUAACUCUGGGAUAAGCCUGGGAAACUGGGUCUAAUACCGGAUAGGAGCGCCUACCGCAUGGUGGGUGUUGGAAAGAUUUAUCGGUUUUGGAUGGACUCGCGGCCUAUCAGCUUGUUGGUGAGGUAAUGGCUCACCAAGGCGACGACGGGUAGCCGGCCUGAGAGGGUGACCGGCCACACUGGGACUGAGACACGGCCCAGACUCCUACGGGAGGCAGCAGUGGGGAAUAUUGCACAAUGGGCGCAAGCCUGAUGCAGCGACGCCGCGUGAGGGAUGACGGCCUUCGGGUUGUAAACCUCUUUCAGUAGGGAAGAAGCGAAAGUGACGGUACCUGCAGAAGAAGCACCGGCUAACUACGUGCCAGCAGCCGCGGUAAUACGUAGGGUGCGAGCGUUAUCCGGAAUUAUUGGGCGUAAAGAGCUCGUAGGCGGUUUGUCGCGUCUGUCGUGAAAGUCCGGGGCUUAACCCCGGAUCUGCGGUGGGUACGGGCAGACUAGAGUGCAGUAGGGGAGACUGGAAUUCCUGGUGUAGCGGUGGAAUGCGCAGAUAUCAGGAGGAACACCGAUGGCGAAGGCAGGUCUCUGGGCUGUAACUGACGCUGAGGAGCGAAAGCAUGGGGAGCGAACAGGAUUAGAUACCCUGGUAGUCCAUGCCGUAAACGUUGGGCACUAGGUGUGGGGACCAUUCCACGGUUUCCGCGCCGCAGCUAACGCAUUAAGUGCCCCGCCUGGGGAGUACGGCCGCAAGGCU